GAUGAACGCUGGCGGCGUGCCUAAUACAUGCAAGUCGAGCGAACAGACGAGGAACUUGCACAUCUGACGUUAGCGGCGAACGGGUGAGUAACACGUGGAUAACCUACCUAUAAGACUGGGAUAACUUCGGGAAACCGGAGCUAAUACCGGAUAAUAUAUUGAACCGCAUGGUUCAAUAGUGAAAGACGGUUUUGCUGUCACUUAUAGAUGGAUCCGCGCCGCAUUAGCUAGUUGGUAAGGUAACGGCUUACCAAGGCGAAGAUGGGUAGCCGACCUGAGAGGGUGAGCAGCAACACUGGAACUGAGACUGGGUCCAGACUCCGACGGCAGCCAGCAGCAGCGAUUAGGCAGAAUGGGCCGAGAGCGUGACGGAGCAACAGCGAUGGCGCGUGGAAGAUGAUCGGAUCGUAAAACGUUGUCAUUAGGGAAGAACAAAUGUGUCAGUUACUAUGCACGUAUUGACGGUACCUUAUCAGAAAGCCACGGCUAACUACGUG
rnacentral:rRNA from 1 species